ACUUACGCCGGCCAUGUGAUCAAACCAAAACCUCAUUGCAUUUCAUCACUCAACUCUCUAAGCCACUUCCCGCCUCGCCCACCCCACACCCAAACGCCAUCGUUUUCCCGCCCCUUCCCCAAUGCACCCACUCUUCCUCCUCCUCCUCCUCCUCUUCUUCUUCUACUCCUUCGAGGUUACGACGUCGUUUCCCUCGAAUACAAACCUCUCCAACUGCUCCCGAGCCUUCGACUGCGGCCCGCUCCGAAACCUCUCGUACCCGUUCACCGGCGGGUCCCGCCCCGCCUACUGCGGCCCGCCGGAGUUUCAUAUCAACUGCGUCAACGACUCGCCGGAGCUGACCAUCUUGUCGCUGAGUUACCGAGUUCUCCAACUCGACCCGGUUCGUCGGAAUCUUAAGCUGGCCCGCUCAGACCUCUGGACCUCGACCUGCACAGACAAGGUCUUCAACUCAACUAUGAAAUCCGAGUUCUUCGCCUACAACGAGAGCGACGACAUGGACGUGACCAUUUUCUACGGCUGCAAUUCGACGAUCACUACGCCGAAGCUCUCGAAUUGGUUCCACUGCAACAACAAUCUGGCUUUCAACGACUCUUACUACUUGAUCGGGCCGGUCCCGCUAGACCCGAUUAUGAGCACUUUCAAGUGUCAGAUUGGAAUUACGGUGUCGAUUCUCAAAACCACGGCGGCGAAGCUCGUCGCCAAUCGGUCGCUGUUUCAGGAAGCGAUCAAUGAAGGCUUCACUGUUAACUAUACCAACCCUUAUGAUAAUCAAUGCGCUCAGUGUCUUGGUGUAAAUGGGCUGUGUGGGUUUGACUCGGGUUCGAGCAAACCCGUUUGCAUUUGCGGCAAUCGGGUUUGUGACCCAGCAGGUAUUUUCAACAGUCUUUGAAGUUUUGAUUGCUAUAAUGUAAUGCUAUCAUCUGACCAUCUCCAUGGGAAAAGAGUCGAAUCCGGGUUUCUUAGUUGGCCUGUUCGAUUGAGCAUCGCCAUAGAGACAGCUGAUGCACUGGCUUUCCUUCACCGCAAUGAUGUAAUACACCGUGAUGUCAAGACCAACAAUAUUCUCAUAGACAACGACUUUUGUGUGAAGGUCGCUGAUUUUGGGCUCUCAAGAUUGUUCCCCAACGAUGUCACGCAUGUUUCAACUGCUCCACAAGGGACCCCCGGCUAUGUUGAUCCUGAGUAUUACCAAUGCUAUCAACUCACGGACAAGAGUGACGUAUAUAGCUUUGGCGUGGUCUUGAUCGAGCUCAUAUCAUCAUUACAAGCAGUGGAUACCAAUAGGCACCGGCACGAUAUAAAUUUGGCCAACAUGGCCAUCAACAAAAUUCAAAAUCAUUUAGUGAAUGAGUUGGUUGAUCCUCUUCUUGAGUUCGAAACGAACUAUGCUGUCAGGAGGAUGGCAACAGCUGUGGCAGAAUUGGGCUUCCGGUGUUUGCAACAGGAGAGGGACAUGAGGCCAACCAUGGACGAAGUGUUGGAUGGUUUGAGAGCAAUCCAGAAUGAAGAUCUUGGUUCAGAAAACGGUGAAGCAGUUGUGCUGGAUAUCGGGGCAGAUGAUGUUGGACUCUUGAGGAACAUGCCUCCCCCACUCUCACCAGACUCAGCUGGAACUGAUAAAUUGGUUAGCAGCUCUACCCAACCUAGUUCCUUUUAGCACUUCAGAUUUCCAUAUCCUCCCAUAUCCUCCUCUUUCCUGCUUUUUGGUGAGCUUCAGCCUCCAGUUCUAAAAUAGAUGGUAAAAAGUAUUGUAUACUCAUAAUCAGAUCCUCUGGACUGGAUUCAAACUUCAUUGUCUUUCUAUAUGCUUUGUUUUCUUUUGAUGUUUAUAGAAGAUAUACUGUAGAGGCAUCACUAUUUGAUCCAAGCCAGCCAAUGUACAUAAAUGAAUGAAGCUGUCAGCACUUGGAAUGUAUUUUUAUGUACAAAA